UAGGGAAUCUUCCACAAUGGGCGCAAGCCUGAUGGAGCAACGCCGCGUGAGUGAAGAAGGUCUUCGGAUCGUAAAACUCUGUUGUAAGAGAAGAACGUGUGUGAGAGUGGAAAGUUCACACAGUGACGGUAACUUACCAGAAAGGGACGGCUAACUACGUGCCUG
rnacentral:rRNA from 1 species